GAUGAACGCUGGCGGCGUGCCUAAUACAUGCAAGUCGAGCGAGUGGAUUAAGAGCUUGCUCUUAUGAAGUUAGCGGCGGACGGGUGAGUAACACGUGGGUAACCUGCCCAUAAGACUGGGAUAACUCCGGGAAACCGGGGCUAAUACCGGAUAACAUUUUGAACCGCCUGGUUCGAAAUUGAAAGGCGGCUUCGGCUGUCACUUAUGGAUGGACCCGCGUCGCAUUAGCUAGUUGGUGAGGUAACGGCUCACCAAGGCAACGAUGCGUAGCCGACCUGAGAGGGUGAUCGGCCACACUGGGACUGAGACACGGCCCAGACUCCUACGGGAGGCAGCAGUAGGGAAUCUUCCGCAAUGGACGAAAGUCUGACGGAGCAACGCCGCGUGAGUGAUGAAGGCUUUCGGGUCGUAAAACUCUGUUGUUAGGGAAGAACAAGUGCUAGUUGAAUAAGCUGGCACCUUGACGGUACCUAACCAGAAAGCCACGGCUAACUACGUGCCAGCCGCCGCGGUAA
rnacentral:rRNA from 1 species